rnacentral:rRNA from 2 species
GGACUACACGGGUAUCUAAUCCCGUUUGCUCCCCUGGCUUUCGCGCCUCAGCGUCAGAAGAGGUCCAGCAGAUCGCUUUCGCCACCGGCGUUCCUUCCGAUAUCUACGCAUUUCACCGCUCCACCGGAAGUUCCAUCUGCCCCUACCUCCCUCCAGCCCGCCAGUAUCAGAAGCACUUUUCCGGUUGAGCCGAAAGAUUUCACCCCUGACUUGGCAAGCCGCCUACGCGCCCUUUAAGCCCAGUGAAUCCGAACAACGUUCGCACGGUUCGUCUUACCGCGGCGGCUGGCAC